rnacentral:lncRNA from 1 species
GCCCUCUCUUUUCUUUUUGGGACCAGAACAACAACUCCCUAAAAACUCUCUCACACUCUCUAGGCUCACUUGCACACUCCCACUACACGAACACCCAAAAAACAAUACUCCCCAACUGACUCUCGGCUCUUUUCUUCUUCCCCUCAAGAAGAGAAGACAAAAACAAGCUCCAGUUUUCCAUCAAUCUCUAUCCCACUCUCAGCACUCUUCCCUCGCAAAAAAUUCCAAACACUCUCACUCCCCCAAAACUUCCCUCUCUCACUCUCGGCUUUAUCUCUCCCCUUCCCCUAUACAUAUUCUCCUACAAAUCAAACACAAGAGAAAGCAAGCAAUUGGACAUGAGGGAGCUGGAAUUUCAUCAAGAAUUUUUAAUCGAGGUCAUAAGAGGUACUACCACUUUCCUUGAGCUAUUUUUCAGUUUUUUUUAUCAUAUUAAAUCCAUGUAUUGUUAUUUAGUCUCUCUUGCUUUUGUUUUUUUUUUUUUUUGUUGCUGCUGCUGGUGUGUUGAAGUUUUUGGGUAUAUUCAUGGAUAAAAUUAAGAAAAGAGAAAUGGUUCUGUGAAUGCAUAUUAAGUGUUUGUAAAAAUGCCAAAACGAAAAAUGAAUCAAAUUAGUGAAUCUUUUGUGCUUAUUUUUCGUCAAAACAGAUGAUUAUAGCUAGCACAAGGUCUGAAAAUGUUUGGUUAUCCAAAAUUUUGGAGUUUUUGAGCUUUAAAAGCAUUGAAAUAUUUUUCUUCAUUUUUGGGCUGUUUUAAUUUAGUGUAUCAUUUUGUUGUUGUUUUUUUUUUUUUUUGCCAAACUAAGGUCAUAGUUGCACUAUAGAAUCCAUAAGGAGUGUAUUGGUAUAAAUUUUAUGAAUUUUAGUGGCGAUUAUAGUGAUUUAAAAAAACAAAAAAUUGGACUAUUUUUUGGCCAUUUCGCCACUUUCAGUUUAUUCUUUUGUAAAAACUAAGUUCAAAAACGAAUUCUACGUGAAAAAUCGAGUUGGAGUGUAUAUUUUGGUUAUUUUUCAUGAUCGGAGAGGUCGUCGACGACCGGCGGAACCAGCGGCUGCCAUGGUUGCCGGAAGGAAGCUUCAGCCUCACUGGAGAGAAAGAAGAAAAGAAGGGGAAGAAGAAGAAAAAGAAAAUAAAAGAAAGAAAAUAAAAGAAAUGUUGGGCUGGUUUUUUAUUUUUUGGUGGGCUUGUUUCUUGAUUUUCAUUUGGGUUAGAGUUUUUUGUUUCAGGCUUUCGUCUGGGCUCUGGGAUUAUUUUACACUUGGGCUUGCAUCUGUUUUUAAUGAAAAUAGCCUGCGUUUUUCUUUGGGCCAGAGCGAUCCAGUCCAAGCAAAAAUGAAUUAGUUUAGCCCCUAAUCUUUGGAGUAGUUUUAUUGUGGCCUAGAAAAUUUUAAAUUUCUUUCACUUAGGUCCUUAAUUUAAUUGCAUUUGGUCCCUAAACUUUAUCUUUGAUUUAAUUUUGAUCGCUAAACUUUUGCAAAAUUAUAUUUUUAUCCCCAAGAAUUUUCUAAUUUUUGUAAUUUAGUCCCUAGUGACUUUUUGACUCUCUCUAUUAUGAUUGUUUCUUUUCUUCAAUAGCUAAUUAUGUUAUUCUUGGGUGUAUUCAACUUGUAAUUUUUAGAUGUUCUUAAGUUUUUUUAUAUUUGACAUAUUAAUGUGAAUUUAGUACUUUUAUUAUUAUUAUUUUCAAUUAAAUUGGUGUCAUGAUCCUUUUGUUCAUUUUGGAGUAUAAAUAGGGCAAUUUGACUCCAUUUAGUCACCACUUCAAAAGGGAGAUACCCCUAUUAUCAUUUAAAUUUCAAUUACAUGCUCUUAUGUGCUCCUAUGUGUUUAUAUAUUUUUACAUGUUUGUUAUUUAUUUAAUUCAAAUGUUCAUCCAAAUUUUCUUAUGUUUGUUUAGUUUAUUUUACAAUUAUUUGGGAGGUAUUUAAAUACCUCAAGAUGUAAUAGAUAGGUAAUUUUUUUUUUUUUGAAGAGUUGUAAUUUGAUAGACCAGUGUAAUAGAUAUGAUAGAUAGGUUUAUUUUAUCAUAUUUCCCCCUUUUAGAUUGUAAUUAGGUUCCCUAUUGUAAUAGAUGGAAUAGAUAGGUAUUUUAUUAUAUUUUCCCAUUUAAUUUUGUAGUUAGACUCCUACCUAUAAUAGGUAGGUUUUGUGUGUUUAUGUGGAUUAUGUGUUUAUAUACUUUAUCUGUUUUCCUUAAGAUUUUUGCAUCUAAAUAUUAUGCUUAUGUGUUACGUGCUACGUGCUCUUACGUGUUUAUUUGUUUUAAUUUAUGUCUUAUCUAUUUUAUUAUGUAUUAUAAAUACAUGACGUUACCACAUUAGUCCGUCGCUAGUUGUGGCUUCUCCUUCCGCUUAUCUACUAGUCCAAUGCUAGUAAGAACUUUAGAAAUAGGCUAGUCCAACACUAAACUCUUAGAUUAUUCAUGCGUUAGAUUCAUUUUUGUUGUGACAUUCAUACAUUCCCAUGCAUAUUUUUUAUUUUAGAACAUUUUCUCAAUUGCAUGAUAUUUUCUAUUAUAUUAUCUCUUACCCUCUAUAUGUGUUAAUCAUAUCAUUUAGGGUUGCAUCUCAUUUAAGAAAUUGUAAAAUAAGUUAGUUCAUCUGCUUGUCUAGAUUAGGAGAAUUACUCCUUGAACAUGGGCAAUGAGCGAUUAUAACUCUUUAGUUUAAAUACUCUGUUAAUCCCUAUAUAAAAAAAUUAUGUCAUGAAUUUUUGCCUCCCGUA